ACUCCUACGGGAGGCAGGCAGUGGGGAAGUAUUGCACAAUGGGGGAAACCGUGCAUGCAGCCAUGCCGCGUGUGUGAAGAAGGCCUUCGGGUUGUAAAGCACUUUCAGUAGGGAGGAAGGUAGUGUAGUUAACACCUGCAUUAUUUGACGUUACCUACAGAAGAAGCACCGGCUAACUCCGUGCCAGCAGCCGCGGUAAUACGGAGGGUGCGAGCGUUAAUCGGAAUUACUGGGCGUAAAGCGCAUGCAGGCGGCCUGUUAAGUCAGAUGUGAAAGCCCGGGGCUUAACCUCGG
rnacentral:rRNA from 1 species